GACGAACGCUGGCGGCGUGCCUAACACAUGCAAGUCGAACGCAGUUGCGAACGGGUGAGUAACGCGUAGGUAACUGCCUCAUAGUUGGGGAUAACUCUUGGAAACGAUAUCUAAUACCGCAUACUGUGUGGUCUACCUGCGUUGUAUUAGCUAGUUGGUGAGGUAAAGGCUCACCAAGUCGACGAUAUACAGCCGACCUGAGAGGGUGAUCGGCAACACUGGGACUGAGACACGGCCCAGAAUCCUAAGGGAGGCAGCAGGAGGGAAGCUUGGGCAAUGGACGGAAGUCUGACGGAGCAACGCCGAGUGAGUGAUGAAGGUUUUCGGAUCGUAAAGCUCUGUUAUUAGAGAAGCGGUAACGAACCAGAAAGGGACGGCUAACUACGUGCCAGCAGCCGCGGUAAUAC
rnacentral:rRNA from 1 species